rnacentral:rRNA from 1 species
AUGAACUCAAUCCGCUCGGAGUCGACUGCGGAGGCCAGGCGUCUCCGUCGGCAGCAGAUGGAGGCGGCGCGAGCUGCGGCGCACGUGGCUCAGGCUCCGGCCCCGGCGGCGCAGGCUCCUGCUCUGGCGACUCCAGCCCCAGCGCUGGCGCAGGCUGCUGGUCGAUCGGUCGAGCAGAUCUACGAGGCAAUUUGUAGACAUAUAGAUGGAAUCUCCAUGAGAACCUCGCCAACCUCUCCAGUCUCCACCGCUCCACGGAUCACGUCUUCAUCGUCGCGCCGUCUCAACGAGACCACGCCGCCCACCACCGCCAUGACGCCUGAGCGAUCACCGGUUCCACCCUCGCCCAAACGACGCCGUCACGAUCCUAGGUCAACCGCCGCGGCCGCAGCCAGCAGCACAGAGAUCCCAUCGACUGCCGGCGCCGUCCCGUUAUCAGACGAGAUCAUCUUCGACAUCCUCACCAGAGUGCCGGUGAGGUCGGCGUGCCGAUUCCGAUGCGUCUCCAGCGAGUGGUGCGCGCUCAUCUCCGGCCCGGACUUCGCCGCCGCGCACGGGUCCCGCGCUCACGCCGAGCCCCUCGUUUGGGUUUACUCCUUCCGAGGCAAGGGCACCGAACUGCGGCUGGUGGGCAUGAACGGCGGUGUUGUGCGUGUGAUCAGGGACGGAGGUGGAACCAGGAAGCUCAGCGGUGGCGUCCUCAUCUGCGUUGCUAAUGAUUUUUUCGGCACACGCGUGGUUGAGCCGGCCAUGGGAGACGUGCUCGUGACCUGCCCGGGGCUCAACAUGCUGCCUGAACCGCUGGGCAUGGGUAGGGACAUUCGGAGGAUACCCAAGGUCGCCUUCGGCAUGGGACGCGCUGUCCCGUCCGGUGAGUACAAGUUAGUCCAUCUCACAGACAUAGACGACGUGAGAUGCGAGGUCCUCACCGUAAAAGGCGACAUCGGGUGGAAGCGUGCGCCGUCGCCCCCGGCCCAUGUCACGUGCUCCUCGACCUGUGUCGCUGUUGUGAAUGGCAUCCUGCACGUCUUCGGGUCACGCGAGGGAGACAGCUGGGAUGUACAUUGCUUUGACCUCGAGAGCGAGAGGUGGAAGACGACGAUCCAAGGCCCACGGAUAGAAGGUGGCUACAACUUGUCGACGGAUAUCCGUAUGGUUGAGCACAAGGGUACCCUUUGUGUGGUUCAGUCGUCGUCGAAGACUCAGCUCACCGACGUAUGGCUUCUGACCGAUCCAAAUAAGGGCAUUUGGGACAAGGCGUAUGCAAUCCCUAUGGAUCCACACACCCAACACUACACCCCUCUAGGGAUGACACAUGACGGUGAAAGGCUGCUCUUUCAGUGCUCUUUUAAUCAUAAACCAGCACAAGCCGUGCGAAUCUACGAUCCUUGCACCAACGCAUGGACGGAUGUCACGGAGACAUCAAGUAAUUUUGCUUGCAAAAUUGGUCUUCGCAAUCUUCGUUUAGGUAGUUUUAUCUCGGCCAAGACCUAG